CAGAAUUGUUAAUUGCGGACUACUAGCUGUUUGAAAGAAAAUCGCAGUAAUCAUGUUGAUUAAACCUUGGGCUCUUAUGAUAAUUAUUGCUGCCGUACUAUUAAUGGCACAGACCGGAUGGUCUCGACGAAUCAAAAAUAAGAAUGAAGAUAGCCAGGAAUGGAAUCCUACCAAAGUUUAAUUAAAUGUACAUUUUUGCCACCGCAAUGAUAAAAACAAUAAAGUAAAAUAAAAAAUAUGCAAAACGUUAAAAUAUGCAAAAUGUAUAUUGUACUUUCAAAACAAAUAUAAUUUUAAAUGCAAGUCUCACAGAAUUAUGUGUUGUGAAAAUAAACUUUGUUUCAUAUUUUA
rnacentral:lncRNA from 13 species